rnacentral:rRNA from 1 species
GAUGAACGCUGGCGGCGUGCCUAAUACAUGCAAGUCGAGCGUACAGACGAGAAGAUUGCUCCUUUACCGUUAGCGGCGGACGGGUGAGUAACACGUGGAUAACCUACCUCUAAUACUGGGAUAACAUCGGGAAACCGGAGCUAAUACUGGAUAAUAUAUUGUACCGCAUGGUUCAAUAGUUAAAGACGGUUUUGCUGUUUCUUAUAGACGGAUCCGCGUCGCAUUAGCUAGUUGGUAAGGUAACGGCUUACCAAGGCAACGAUGCGUAGCCGACCUGAGAGGAUGAUCGGCCACACUGGAACUGAGACACGGUCCAGACUCCUACGGGAGGCAGCAGUAGGGAAUCUUCCGCAAUGGGCGAAAGCCUGACGGAGCAACGCCGCGUGAGUGAUGAAGGUCUUCGGGUCGUAAAACUCUGUUAUUAGGGAAGAAAAAAUGUGUAUGUAACUAUGCACGUCUUGACGGUACCUAAAGAGUAAGCCACGGCUAACUACGUG